CAAGGCUUGACAUCCCUCUGACCGAUUUAGAGAUAGAUCUUUCCCUUCGGGGACAGAGGUGACAGGUGGUGCAUGGUUGUCGUCAGCUCGUGUCGUGAGAUGUUGGGUUAAGUCCCGCAACGAGCGCAACCCUUAUCUUUAGUUGCCAGCAUUUAGUUGGGCACUCUAGAGAGACUGCCGGUGACAAACCGGAGGAAGGUGGGGAUGACGUCAAAUCAUCAUGCCCCUUAUGUCUUGGGCUACACACGUGCUACAAUGGUUGGUACAAAGGGCUGCAAGCCAGCGAUGGUUAGCCAAUCCCAUAAAGCCAAUCUCAGUUCGGAUUGCACUCUGCAACUCGAGUGCAUGAAGUUGGAAUCGCUAGUAAUCGUGGAUCAGCAUGCCACGGUGAAUACGUUCCCGGGCCUUGUACACACCGCCCGUCACACCAUGGGAGUUGGUUCUACCCGAAGCCGGUCCGCCAACCGCAAGGAGGCAGCCGACCACGGUAGGGUCAGCGACUGGGGUG
rnacentral:rRNA from 1 species